rnacentral:misc_RNA from 1 species
AACGCACCUUGCGCUCCUUGGUAUUCCGAGGAGCAUGCCUGUUUGAGUGUCAUUAAAUUCUCAACCCUCUAGUUUUCUUGCUUGGAGAACUGGUAGGGCUUGGAUUUGGAGGGUUGCUGGCCUCUCUGAGGCUUUGGCUCCUCUUAAAUGUAUUAGCAGAACCUUUGCUGAACCUUUGGUGUGAUAAUUAUCUACAUCAUUACAGGCUGAUGCACCUUGAGGAUCUGCUUCUAACUGUCUUGCUACAAGACAAUUCAUGACAAUUUGACCUCAAAUCAGGUAGGACUACCCGCUGAACUUAA